GGCCAAUGACUUGAUUUAAUUGUCCGUACCAUCUGAAGUCUAGCAUUUGCUGGUCUACUGAUGCACCUUUAUUUCUGAGGCCU